CCCAGAGGCCCCGCCCCUUCGGAGGCCUCGCCCUGUCCGUUGCGCGGCCGGCAGGAGGCGCUUCGAGCCGGGCGCCAGCUCGGCUAACGGCGGGCGUGGGAGCCGCGCGCGGGGGACGCAGCUGACAGGCUGCGCUGAGGCUCCAGCCUUCCCCCAGCCACUGGUUGAAAUCCUCAGUGGUUAUUCAUGAAGACGCACCCACCAUGUUUUAUGGGACUCAGUUGAUCAUGUCUCCUCCCACCAAGAAUAAGCUGAAGCGACAGAGCCAGCUCCUAUCCACAAUGCUGUCCCGGACACUGAGCUACAAGUAUCGUGACCUGGAUUCCACCUUCUGCAGCCUAGGUGCCAGUGACGACCCCUCAGAGCUCUCCACGCAGCUCUCGGCCCCCGGGGUCCUCAAGGUGUUUGGGGACAGUGUCUGUACAGGCACCCACUAUAAGAGUGUCUUGGCCACUGGCUCCUCCAGUGCCCAGGAGCUGGUGAAAGAGGCACUGGAGCGCUAUGCCCUGGACCCUGAGUGUGCUGGCCAGUACGUGCUAUGUGAUGUUGUGGGCCAAGCUGGGGACUCUGGGCAGCGGUGGCAGGCCCAGUGCUUCCGAGUAUUUGGCGACAAUGAGAAGCCCCUCUUGAUCCAGGAGUUAUGGAAACCCCGAGAAGGCUUGUCCCGGAGGUUUGAGCUAAGGAAGAAGUCAGAUGUGGAAGAGCUUGCAUCGAGGGAUGUGGAUACCACCACCGCAGGGAUAAACGCCCAAGCCCGGAGGCUACAGCGUAUCCGUGCCAAGGGAACCCCAGCCCUCACCUCUGAAGCUGCUCAAAGCUCCCCACCGACCAGGCUGCGCCGUACAGUCAGCGAGACCAGCCUAAGCCCAGCACCAUCGCUACCUGAGGCUGCUCAGAGGCCUGAGGAGCCCGUCCCUGAGGCCAUGCGUUACUCGCUGUACCAGUGCCCGCACCUGCUGCUGUUGCAGGGCUACAGCCAGCAGCACGCACCAAACCAGGGCUGUCACUGACCUUAGCCCUCAUUGGAUCUUGGAGCCAGACCACUUCUCAGCUUGUAUCUCAGGUCUUUGAAGUAGGACAGCCUGGUGUACGUGCUCAGCAAGGAACGGCACACAGUGGGCCAGCGCACACCGUCUAGCAAACCCAGCAUCAGCUUGUCUGCCCCAGACAUCCUGCCCCUGCACUGUACCAUUCGCCGCCAUCAGUCCCCAGAGGGUGGCCCGGCAGGGACCAGGCUAGUGCUGGAGCCCAUCACAGGGGCUUCGGUGUCAGUCAACUUCUCAGAAGUGGGAAGGAACCCUGUGGUGCUACAACAUGGCGACCUGCUCUCCCUGGGUCUCUAUUACCUGCUGCUGUUCAAGGACCCUGGGCAGGCACAGCCACUGCCUGCUUGUGCCCUCGCCCGUCUUGGGGCGGCACCACAGAGCUGUAGAAUGUGUGGUGCGGUGCUCAGAGCCCGUGGGGCCCCUUCCUUGCCUGCUGCUGUGGUCCGGCGGCGGUCACUGCUCCUGGAGUUUGAGCCCGAUGUGGAGGACACACUGCUGCAGAGGAUCAUGACACUGAUUGAGCCUGGGGGUGACGACCACAAGCUGACACCUGCCUUCCUCCUCUGCCUCUGCAUCCAGCACUCCGCCAUGCACUUCCAGCCGGGUACCUUCAGGCAUCUCCUGCUCAAGAUCUCCAAAAGGGUCCGAGACACUGUCUGGGAGAAGACCAAAGAACUAGCGGAAAAGCAGGCACAACUCCAGGAGCCCAUCUCCUGGGCCAGCUUCCCCAUGGCCGACCUGGUUCCCGACCUGCAGCACAUCCUGUUUUGGAUGUCAAACUCCAUCGAGCUCCUGUACUUCAUCCAGCAGAAGUCCCCGCUGUACGUGCAGAGCAUGGAGGAGGAGCUGGACGUCACAGGCUCCAAGGAGUCGCUGUUCUCCUGCACACUGACGGCCAGCGAGGAGGCCAUGGCUGCCCUGGAGGAGGUGGUGCUCUAUGCUUUCCAGCAGUGCGUGUAUUACCUCUCCAAGUGCUUGUAUGUCUGCCUCCCGGCCCUCUUGGAAUGCCCCCCAUUUCAGACAGAGCGCAGGGAGAGCUGGCGCUCAGGUCCAGCUCUGCCCGAGGAGCUUCGGCGAGUGGUGUCAGUGUUCCAGGCCACCUUGGACCUCCUGCAGCAGCUGCAGAUGCAUCCUGAGGUGGCCUCCCAGAUGCUGGCUUAUCUCUUCUUCUUCUCUGGCACACUGCUCCUCAACCAGGUCCUAGACAAGGGGCCCUCUCUGAGUUGCUUCCAUUGGCCCAGGGGUGUGCAGGUGUGUGCCCGCCUGCAGCAGUUCCUGGAGUGGGCCCGGAGUGCUGGCCUUGGAGCACCUGCUGAGCGCUUCUUCCGGAAGCUUUCCUGCACCCUGCAUCUGCUGGCCACUCCCAGGGCUCAGCUCAUCCAGAUGAGCUGGGCCACCCUGAGGGUCACAUUCCCUGCCCUGAACCCUGCUCAGCUGCACCGGCUUCUGACUCAGUACCAGCUGGCCUCUGCCAUGGGCCCUGUGAGCGCUUGGGAGCCAGGAGCCCCAGACGGCCCGGAGGCCUUCCAGUCAGAGGACAUCCUGGAGUCCUAUGAAAACCCGCCGCCCAUUGUUCUGCCGAGCCAGGGCUUCCAGGUAGACCUGGAAGCCGACUGCGUGGAGGACAGCAUCUACCAGCACCUGCUCUACAUCCGCCACUUCCUGUGGGGGCUGCGGGGCCAAGCCAGCCCUGACAGUGGGCCUGCCCAGCCCGAGAGCAUCGAGGGCCUGUACCACACAAUUCCUGAGGGCCAUCUGGAAGGCCAUGGCUGCCCCCUGGCCAAUAGGGACCCAGGCAGAGUUGCUGUUGAAACUGCCCCUCCCCAUUCUCUUCCUGUCACGGGAGCUCCCCGGGCUCAGGGUCCCCCUGGAAGACAGCCUACCCGAGGGGACCGCAGGGGCUCCCAGGCUGGCUCUCUGCACACUGACUCCUCCUGCAUGCUCACUCCGCCCAGCACGCCACUGGGCCUGGAGCCUGCAGGCCCCAGCUGGCCAGAGCCCAGCGGCCUCUGUGGAAGAGCAGUCCUUGACGGGCAGAGGAAUGGGCCAGGUGGUCUGCCUGGUGCAGUCCUAGAAGGAGAUGCGAUUCAGGAUGCUGAGCCUCCUGCUGAGGCCUCCAGCCCCAGCUCCAGCGCUGAGGACUUCUGCUACGUGUUCAUGGUGGAGCUGGAGCGAGGCCCCUCGGGGCUGGGAAUGGGCCUGAUUGAUGGGAUGGUGAGGACCCUGGGGCCUCAGCCCUCUACCCCUCCCACCCCCACCCCUUGUUUUUGCAGACUCAUCCUCUACAGUGUGAGCACAGUCGAGGCCAGUGAGCGAUGCCCUGACUGCCUCAUGGGCCUGCCUUUAGGAGCACUGAUGGAGCCCAGUGCUUUCCCAUGGAACAUACCUGGAUCUGGCUAGGUCCAGGCAUGGGCCCCACAAGUUCACAGGGAGGCUUGGGGCUGGGGUACAAGGCCUUUUCUGGGGAGAGCAUGUGUCAGCACCAGCAGCAUCUUGAGGCCCCUGCUUCUUCCCAGCACACACCUCUGGGGGCCCAGGGACUCUACAUACAGACCCUGCUUCCCGGGAGCCCCGCGGCAUCUGAUGGGCGGCUGUCACUCGGAGACCAAAUCCUGGAGGUGAAUGGCAGCAGCCUGAGGGGUGUCAGCUACAUGAGGGCAGUGGAUUUGAUCCGACAUGGAGGCAAGAAGAUGCGAUUUUUAGUUGCCAAGUCUGACAUGGAAACGGCCAAGAAAAUCCGCUUCCGCAAUCCCCCUUCCUAAUAGACCAAAGGACCCUUGUCCCCACCACCUGUUUCCUGUAUCCUCUCCAGGUGCCACCAACAGCCACCACGGCACUCACCCUGCCCCUCACACCCCAGUCCAGCCAAUCCUGGUUUUUAAAGUUGACUGAGUGAGUCCCUAUGUUGUGGCCUCACGUUGAGGACACCUUUGACAGUGUGCAUCUUAGUGUAUAUUUAUUUAUAUGACAGAUGACACUAAGUUGUGACAUUUCCUACAGAGCUUUUAUGUUUAAAGACUUUAAUGGAGAGUUUAGAUUCAAUAAACUAUCUUUUGUAUUCUUAUA